UUAGCUGGGAAUUCUUCAAUGCCUCACUGUCUUUUCCACUGUGAUGCCAAACAUGACAUGAAAACAUCCAGCAGGUUCAGACAUACGGAGUGGGCUGGAACCAGUAUGGCUGAAUGAUGCUUGUUCCCUCAGAUUGAUUGCAAUCUUGUCCCAUUUUUCCCACAAGAGGCCCCCAGGUAAAAGGAGGGGUGGCAGUGCUGACCUGUGUGCUGCCCCAACCACUCUAGCUGUGCGUGCCCAUGGCCCUGGUGCACCACCCUUGCCUGGCAUCUCUGCACACUGAUGAGUGUGACUGAUGAAACUCCCAAGAGCUAAGGGGAUACUUCAUCCCCACCAAGCACUGCCACCCGCUUCCAAAGGAUGCUGUAUGCCAGUGAGGGGGUGCCCAGCCAUGAGGGUUCCCCCUCUCCUGGAGGCCACCACCCCAGCCUGUGUCCUGAAUGCCCGUGUCCUCACACGCAAAGUCCUUCCCUCUCGGUCCAUUAGUUUGUUUCCAUGGCCAGUGGCAGGCACACGACUCUGAAAGCUGUAUUAAAAGCCAGGUCAAUACCAGCCCUUGCUUAUUCCCCCAGGGGAAAAUAAGUAAAUAAUGAAAGGAGGGGGUGACUUCAUUUCCGAAACCAGCAAACUCUCAAAUUUAGUGCUGAGAGAGGCACUCCAGUUCCCAAAUCAGUAGCAUUAGAGCUCUGAGGAGAGGCAGCUCUGCCUCAGCACCAGCAGAACCAGGAGGGAUGAGGGCCACUCAAAAUCCAUUGAAUCCAUCAUUUCACUGAAGGCUUUGAGGCAAACUGCUCUGGCAGAUGGGCUCUGGAGCUGAGGAUCACUACAGGAGCGAGGUAGAGACUGAGGUACUUAAUGCCUUCUUUGCCUCAGUCUUUAACAGCAAGACCAGUUGUCCUCAGGAUACUCAGUCCCCUGAGCUGGAAGACAGGGACAGGGAACACAAUGAAGCCCCAUAAAGCAGGAGGGAAUGCUCAGUGACCUCCCACACCAUUUAGACACUCCCACGUCUGUGGGGCUGGAUGGGAUCCACCCAAGAACACUGAGAAAGUUGGCGGAAGAGCUCACCAAGCCCCUUUCCAUCAUUUAUCAUCAGUUCUGGCUAGCCAGAGAGGUCGAAGGUGACUGGAGGUUAGCCAGUGUGACACCCAUCUACAAAAAGGGCUGGAAGGAGGAUCUGGGGAACUACAGGCCCAUCAACCUGACCUCAGUGCCAGGAAAGGUCAUGGAGCAAUUCACCUUGCCAUCAUACAGAACAUGUGGCACAACCCAGAUCUCAGGCCCAGCCAGCAUGGGUUUGGGAAAGUCGGGUCCUGCUUGACAGCCUGAUCUCCUUCUAUGACAAAGUGACCUGCUUAGUGGAUGAGAGCAAGGCUGUGGAUGAUGUCUACCUGCACUUCAGUAAAGCCUUUGACUCUGUCUCCCAAAGCAUUUGUCCUGGAGAAUCUGGCUGCCUGGAGAAAUGGAAUGGGUGCACCGUUCACUGGUUAGAAAACUGGCUCCAUGGCUGGGCCCAGAGGGUGUUGGGGAAUGGAAUUAUUCUGGUGAAUGGAAUUUUUCCAGUGAAUGGAGCAAACCCAGGCAGGACAGCUGUUCUCCCACAAAACCUACAUCCUAGGAUGAGAAAUUACCAUGUCUGGGCCCAGACACAUCUUCUGAUGGCAUCAGGGAGAAGAAUGGCGGAGGCAAAAGGAGCAAGUGGAGGGUCUGCUGUCCAGUCAGGUCACCUGUCUGUCAUCCCAGCUGUGCUGCACCAGGGAGCAGUCUGAGUGUGGAAAGCACAGGGCCCUGCCUCCUCUGCCACUAUCUCAGGAGAGGAGCAGGACAUGUUUUUCAAGAGGACUGGGAGAACUGGAUCUGAGUCCAUGGAGCCAAGCUGCUUCUGGAGGUGACAGACACCAAAAGCCAAGGAGAGUGCAGAGCAGCCUGUGUAGAACGUCCUUGUUUCCUAGCUUGGCGUUUGCCGUGGAAGAAUAUCAAUUUCAGUUUUCCUUCUCUUUUAUAUACAGAAUCAUGUGCAACAAGCAACAAACAUGCAAGUAAACCCCUCGCUUGAGAUCCUUCCCCACUCCCUCCAAGAGUCCCAAAUUCUCCCUUCUAUCCUCAUCUGGCCAGUGCUUAGGUGUCGCUCCUCUCCCAGUGACGGCGAUGACCCUUGACAGCCAUGGGCCCUACCCAUAGUGAGAGGGGACAGAAAGUCUGCUGUUGCCUCAGCAGCAGAAACACUUGCCGUGGGUCCCAGUCUCUCCACUGAAGGCAAGGACUCCUGUCACCUCUCCAGAGACAAGAAACCAGGCCUGCUGCCCUCCUGUCUCUGGGCAGGAAAGGGGUUCUAGCCCAAGCUGCAUACCCAGAAAGAGCAGUGCAUCCUCACUCCUCUCCCAGGCAUUAUGACCUCAUGAGAAAGGGAGUAUAUCCAAGCAGCUCCAGGCCUUGGUGUAUUUGGGGGCUGAGAGGCAAUCAUGGGAGGCAUUAUUUGGUGGUGAAGGGACUUAUCCAGUGUAUGGUACGGAACGGAGGAGACUGUGGGCAAUGGGUGCGGAACGGGGAGGCUGGAGGAGUUAGAUGGCUGACUCCCUGCGCUCCCGCGCUGAGCAGCAAGGUGUGCCAGCUACCUCGUAUGUCUUGUGAAAGCGCGAGUAAUCCACUUUGUAGUGGUUCUUCUCCUCAAACACAACUGGUUCAAAGCGAUGACCCCAAAGGAUUUCACUAGCAAGCUCUUCCUUGCCAAUCCCAUAGAGGGGGCUCUCCUCAUCAAUCUCAUGAACAAUAAUGAUGGGUGAGACCAAAAAUAUACGAUCAAGAC